rnacentral:rRNA from 1 species
CCUACGGGGGGCAGCAGUGGGGAAUAUUGGACAAUGGGGGGAACCCUGAUCCAGCCAUGCCGCGUGUGUGAAGAAGGCCCUCGGGUUGUAAAGCACUUUCAGUGAGGAAGAACGCCUGGUGGUUAAUACCCAUCAGGAAAGACAUCACUCACAGAAGAAGCACCGGCUAACUCCGUGCCAGCAGCCGCGGUAAUACGGAGGGUGCGAGCGUUAAUCGGAAUUACUGGGCGUAAAGCGCGCGUAGGUGGCUUGAUAAGCCGGUUGUGAAAGCCCCGGGCUCAACCUGGGAACGGCAUCCGGAACUGUCAAGCUAGAGUGCAGGAGAGGAAGGUAGAAUUCCCGGUGUAGCGGUGAAAUGCGUAGAGAUCGGGAGGAAUACCAGUGGCGAAGGCGGCCUUCUGGACUGACACUGACACUGAGGUGCGAAAGCGUGGGUAGCAAACAGGAUUAGAUAGCCCGGUAGUC